rnacentral:rRNA from 1 species
UACGGAGGAGGCAAGCGUUAUCCGGAAUUAUUGGGCGUAAAGCGUCCGUAGGUGGUUGAACAAGUCAGUUGUUAAAGAGUGGUGCUUAACACCAUACGGGCGAUUGAAACUGUUUAACUAGAGUUUGGUAGGGGUUACGGGAAUUCCCAGUGUAGCGGUGAAAUGCGUAGAUAUUGGGAAGAACACCGGUGGCGAAAGCGCGUAACUGGACCUGAACUGACACUGAGGGACGAAAGCUAGGGGAGCGAAAGGG